AAGAUGUUAUAAAUGCAUGAGGCUUUACAACUUGGCAGAUGUAUAACUCGCAUGUUAUGAUUGAAUCAAACUGUUGAAGAUAUUGGUUUCACUUGAAGAUUUUUAGCAUUUUAUGCGCAAAUCAAAUGCCAGUAGCAUUUUGAAGGAGUAUUUUGGAAUCGUAAAUACAGUGGGACAGUGCUGGGUCUCUGGGAUGCUGGUGAGGUGUACGUGACCUCAAGCUCUUGGAGCUUACAAAUAAGAUUCCUAAAUUGUCACACCUGCAGUGCUGGAAGUCAAAGUGGAUUUCUGUAAAGGAGGUAUUAGUGCAAUAAGGAACAGAUGAGUGCCCUUGGAGGGCAGUUUCUGAGCCUCCCAGACACCCCAGGAGGAAGCGGGAGAGGGAGGCAGUUACCCACCAGAAGCUGGAUGGUGGAGCUGGGUUUGCUGGUGGCCCUGCGUGGCAGGUAAUUACGUGCAAUAAGGAACAGGUGAGCGCCCUUGAGGGCGGUUUCUCGCUCUGCUUCGGAACUGCAAGUGGAAGACGCCCCAAGUGGGGUGGGGGGUGUGGUCGUUAUCCAAUGGGGCCGGAUUUGCUGUUGGCCGCUGUGUGGCAGGUCACUGCGGGGAGCGAUGGGAGUGCUCAGGAGGCUGAUGCCACAUAGAAGACCUGCAGGUCGAUGGAUGUGAAACAGGCAUCGGACACGCUGUGCACCUUGGGAUGCAUCUGAGAAGUACGUGCUUGCAGCAGGUCUGAGGUGAGGGCGUGUUCCAUCUCCUCUCCCUUCUCUGGCUUUGCAGGCCUUUGAAGUUGGUC
rnacentral:lncRNA from 1 species